UCGCGUCGGGCAACGUGCACACGUCGUCUCGUCAUGGACUUCAAUAAUAUAAAGUUAAACUUUUUAGAAGCUUUAAUUAAAAUUGCUGGCUAGGGGCUUCCUGGUCCUAACGGAGUCGUUGGCACCUCCUCGCCAGCAUCUGCGGCCGGCGUUGCCUUUUUUUUUGGUGCAGCUCAAAUUCUUCACGCACCGCAUUGCCUUCUGCAGCGCCUUUUCGGGAGGCUCCGAGGGCUCCACCAGAGCGAUUGCAUCUAGUAUUAGAUAAAAAAUUAGUUUUAAAAAUAGAAAGAGACGAGAAAAAAAACUCCAUGCUGAAUGGACCGGCUCAGCCUUCCAUUUUUAAGAAGGGUUACCAUCAGCUUUGUCUAAAAAUAUAAGAAAAUAUUUAAAAAAAAAAAGGAGAAGUAAAGCUAAGAACGAAAGCCCCGACUACGAAAUAAAUAUAAUUAAAAAACAAGAAUAUAA